GACCCGACUGCUAUUUGGGUGAGGAUAAGCCAUGCGAGUUGAAUGGGAUACCUAUAGUUCCCAUGGCAAACUGCUCAGUAACACAUGAUCAACUUACCCUAUAGAGAAAAAUAACCUCGGGAAACUGAGGAUAAUGUUUCAUAGUUGAAUUGGCUUGGAAAAGUUUUUCGACGAAAGGGGUAAAAAAAAUGGUUUUUAUCUGCUAUAGGAUAGGAUCGUGUUCGAUUAUGGUUGUUGGUGAGAUAAUGGCUCACCAAGCCGAUAAUCGAUAGGGGCCGUGAGAGCGGGAGCCCCGAGAUGGGUACUGAGACAACGACCAGGCCUUACGAGGCGCAGCAGGCGCGGAACCUCCGCAAUACACGAAAGUGUGACGGGGUUACCCAAAGUGUUCAAUAGAACUGUGGUAGGUGAGUAAUGUUCCCUACUAGAAAGGAGAGGGCAAGGCUGGUGCCAGCCGCCGCGGUAAAACCAGCUCUUCAAGUGGUCGGGAUAUUAUUGGGCUUAAGUGUCCGUAGCCGGUUUAGUUAGUUCCUGGUAAAAUCGGGUAGCUUAACUAUCUGCAUGCUAGGAAUACUGCUAUACUAGAGGGCGGGAGAGGUCUGAGGUACUACAGGGGUAGGGGUGAAAUCUUAUAAUCCUUGUAGGACCACCAGUGGCGAAGGCGUCAGACUGGAACGCGCCUGACGGUGAGGGACGAAAGCCAGGGGAGCGAACCGGAUUAGAUACCCGGGUAGUCCUGGCCGUAAACGAUGCAUACUAGGUGAUGGUACGGCCAUGAGCCGUAUCAGUGCCGUAGGGAAACCGUUAAGUGUGCCGCCUGGGAAGUACGGUCGCAAGGCUAAAACUUAAAGGAAUUGGCGGGGGAGCACCACAAGGGGUGAAGCCUGCGGUUCAAUUGGACUCAACGCCGGGAAACUUACCAGGGGAGACAGCAGUAUGACGGUCAGGUUGACGACCUUACCCGACGAGCUGAGAGGAGGUGCAUGGCCGUCGCCAGUUCGUGCCGUGAGGUAUCCUGUUAAGUCAGGCAACGAACGAGAUCCGCACCUUUAUUUGCCAACAAGAAGUCACGACUUCGUUGGGAACACUAAAGGGACCGCCGUCGAUAAGACGGAGGAAGGAGCGGGCAAAGGCAGGUCAGUAUGCCCCGAAACCCCUGGGCUACACGCGGGCUGCAAUGGUAUGAACAAUGGGCUGUGACUCCGAAUGAGAACCAAUCCGAAUCAUAUCUCAGUUGGA
rnacentral:rRNA from 1 species